rnacentral:rRNA from 1 species
GGGCUGCAGUGAGGAAUCUUGCGCAAUGGGGGAAACCCUGACGCAGCAACGCCGCGUGAGUGAUGAAGGUCUUCGGAUCGUAAAGCUCUGUCAAGUGGGAAGAAACUGCCCUUUGUUAAUACCAGGGGGCACUGACGGUACCACUGAAGGAAGCACCGGCUAACUCCGUGCCAGCAGCCGCGGUAAUACGGAGGGUGCAAGCGUUAUUCGGAAUUAUUGGGCGUAAAGGGCGCGUAGGCGGCUUUUCAAGUCUGAUGUGAAAGCCCGGAGCUUAACUCCGGAAGUGCAUUGGAUACUGUAAGGCUUGAGUAUGGGAGAGGGUAGUGGAAUUCCUGGUGUAGAGGUGAAAUUCGUAGAUAUCAGGAGGAACACCGGUGGCGAAGGCGGCUACCUGGACCAAUACUGACGCUGAGGCGCGAAGGCGUGGGGAGCAAACAGGAUUAGAUACCCUAGUAGUC